UACGUAGGUGGCUAGCGUUGUCCGGAUUUACUGGGCGUAAAGAGCGCGCAGGCGGUCGUUCAAGUCGAGUGUGAAAGCCCCCGGCUCAACUGGGGAGGGUCACUCGAUACUGAUCGACUCGAAGGCAGGAGAGGGAAGCGGAAUUCCCGGUGUAGUGGUGAAAUGCGUAGAUAUCGGGAGGAACACCAGUGGCGAAGGCGGCUUCUGGCCUGUUCUUGGACGGCUGAGGCGCGAAAGCUAGGGUAGCAAACGGGA
rnacentral:rRNA from 1 species